UAUGAAAUCCAUAGGAGGAGAAUAUAAAGAGACUCUGGUGUUUAAGUGGCUCAGGCAUUAUGGGUGAGCAACGGCAGACUCAGUCUCACAGGCCACCAGGUAGAUGGAAAUUCUAAAUUGAAGGGAGCACAGACUCUGCAGGUCAUUGUGGGAAACUCAAGGGUUCCACAUGGGACAGGAAAGUGAGUUGAAGACGUGCGUGGGAGAAGUCAGUUCAAGGCCAGGUCAGUAGAAUUUGGCCUGUGCAGCCUUGUGAGUUCUCUGUAGGAACCAGGAAGAAAACAAAGGGAAGUUGUGAAUGGAAAGAUCUGAACAUAAAGAGAAUCCUUGGAAGGAAGCAGAAGAACACCACCUGCACUCAGUAUUUAUCCUAUUAAAGCAAAUUCUUACCACUGCAGUAUAUUUCAAAAGAGGAAGCGUAGAUGGGAUCACAGGUGAAGAGGGACAUGUUGGUCAUUGGUUUUAAAUAUGUGGACUUUUCACAGCAGGGCUGGCAAAAAUGUAAUACUGGUGAGACUUGAUCCUGAGACCUGCCACACAGAAGAGUCGUCUGGUCCUUGGCCAACUUCAGCUUUGAUGUUGGCCAUUCCUUCUUGGAUAAGUCAGUUGACAGCAACUUGACAAAGGCUGCUGGGAGCCUCUCAAUGACUUCUCGUUGCUAAAGAUGACAAUCUCCGAAGAGGCCUGAGCUUUGUGCGCCUGCCCUGCCCUCUCCACCUGGUCCUGGACCCACCUGCUCCCUCCUCUCUGGGAAGUUCAGACACACGGUCCUGCCCCUCACUCAGCUUCUUGGUGGCUGUACACCAAGCAUGUCAAACUCGUGGACCACAGGCCUCCUGCCUCGUUUAUUUGGCCCGUGUUAGCCUUUGAGUUUGACAUGCUUCUCAGAGCACUGGUUUUCACUUGAGUUGUAAUCAUGGAGAGUUUCUGUUGCGUCCCUAAGCAAUUGUUGGGAGCCCCGACCCUCUGCUCAUGGUGGAGCCUGGCAUAUUUGCUUUCUGGCACAUAGCAACAUGUGGUAUGUGCUGAGUACAUAAUAAUGCAAAUGGCACAUAAUAAUGCAAAUAGCACAUUAUUUUCCCAAGUUCACUUGGAGGAGUAACCACUAGGCAUACUGUCUCUGUACGAUGUAUCAUCAUCUGCUUUUUGUCUAACGAAGCUGCAUGCAUAAGGUCGCGAUCACAAUUCUCUUUUUUAAAUUAUUCACACAUAUGCAUAUGUAUACCCAGAUUUCUCUGGAUGGCAAGAUUAUGGGUGAUUUAGGUGAUUUUUAUUUUAUUUUUGUGCUUUCCUAUUUUUCUAUAAUGUAGAUGGAUAACUUUCAUAAAUAGUAGAGGAAAAAAAUAAGUAAAUUUAUUUAGCACUAGAUAUGUUUACACAAAAGGAGGAGAAACAGGUUUCAAAACAGAAUAAUAGUCCACAUUUCUAAAGUGCUAUGUACCUUUACGUCUUCCAUUAUUGGGAGUAAUUAAGACGAGACUACAGUCAGUUGUGCAAGAGAGAAUUGUUUUCUUUGGUUAUUGGAGAUUAUAGGGGCUUAGCUCAAGGGCAGGUGAAUUUGAUCUGAGGUAAUAAUGAAGCUCAAUUUAAGAAGGUUUUUACCCCUGAAAAAGGAUUUAGGAUGAUAUAAUCAAGUACUUUCUUUUUAUUUGAUCGAGAACUCCUUCCCUUGCCUUCACCCAUAUCCAUGACUGGGCCCGAGUGUCAGUCUCCCCUUCCUGCAUCAUGACCAUCCUUGGGUUUUACCAAUUAAAGCAGCUAAGAGCACUGAAAUGCUUUGAUUACACAAAUGGCUCCUUAGACCCCUUCCCUGUGUAGAAUUGAACUCCUUCCUCUUUGCUUCUGCUCCCUAUCAAUGACAUGUCCCUAUGGCAGCAUCUUGAGCAAGUCACUAUGAUAUCUGCUUGCAUCAUUUUCCUUUUGACCAAAAGGUAAGUUCUGCAGAAAGCAGGGGACUCGCUUACCUGUCCAUCAUGCUGUCCCCUCUCUGUACUUGGCAGGUGCACAGUGUACUUUUCAAAGAUGAAUUACAUCUAAGGUUAUGGUGUAGGUUCACACUUAGAACUAAGAGGUCAAAAGGACAGGACUCAAGACAAAAAGACUGAGAAGAGCAAUUUUGAGAGCUUUAUGGAAAAGUAAAGAGGACAUUUGCCAAAGGAUUGAAAAUAUCUGCCUAAUGCUGUUAUUGCCAUGUGAAUAACCUGGGGAAAUGAACACCAUUGGAGAAGGGUUCUACCGUACUUUCAAGAAGGCAUUUGAAUACAAAGGAGUAUAUUGUUUUCAUCCACAUUAUGGAUGAGUUAUACUCACGUGUUGUCAUCUGUGACUUCUGGAGUAACCUAUUUGGUUAAAUAAACUGGCCACUUCCUUGA